UCGAGGAUUUUCGGCAAUGGGCGCAAGCCUGACCGAGCGACGCCGCGUGUGCGAUGAAGGCCUUCGGGUUGUAAAGCACUGUCGAAGGGGAGGAAGCCGAAAGGUUGACCUAUCCUUGGAGGAAGCACGGGCUAAGUUCGUGCCAGCAGCCGCGGUAAGACGAACCGUGCUAACGUUGUUCGGAUUCACUGGGCUUAAAGGGCGCGUAGGCGGACGAUCAAGUCCAGGGUGAAAUACUCCAGCUUAACUGGAGAACUGCCCCGGAUACUGGUCGCCUUGAGGGAGGUAGGGGCAUGUGGAACUUCCGGUGGAGCGGUGAAAUGUGUUGAUAUCGGAAGGAACGCCGGUGGCGAAAGCGACGUGCUGGGCCUCUUCUGACGCUGAGGCGCGAAAGCUAGGGUAGCGAACGGGAUUAGAUACCCCCGUAGUCC
rnacentral:rRNA from 1 species